CCUACGGGGGGCAGCAGUGGGGAAUAUUGGGCAAUGGGCGCAAGCCUGACCCAGCAACGCCGCGUGAAGGAAGAAGGCUUUCGGGUUGUAAACUUCUUUUAAGAGGGAAGAGCAGAAGACGGUACCUCUUGAAUAAGCUCCGGCUAACUACGUGCCAGCAGCCGCGGUAAUACGUAGGGAGCGAGCGUUGUCCGGAUUUACUGGGUGUAAAGGGCGUGCAGCCGGGAGUACAAGUCAGAUGUGAAAUCCCGCGGCUCAACCGCGGAACUGCAUUUGAAACUGUAUUUCUUGAGUACUGGAGAGGC
rnacentral:rRNA from 1 species